UACGUAGGGUGCAAGCGUUGUCCGGAAUUAUUGGGCGUAAAGAGCUCGUAGGCGGUUUGUUGCGUCGGCUGUGAAAUCCCGAGGCUCAACCUCGGGUCUGCAGUCGAUACGAGCAAACUAGAGUGUUGCAGGGGAGACUGGAAUUCCUGGUGUAGCGGUGAAAUGCGCAGAUAUCAGGAGGAACACCGGUGGCGAAGGCGGGUCUCUGGGCCGAUAUCGACGCUGGAGGAGCGAAAGCGUGGGGAGCGAACAGG
rnacentral:rRNA from 1 species